UCCAAAUAAGCAAUGGGAAAUAUUAACAACACAAGCGGGUAACCUUGCUAAGCUGACAGCUCUUCUGCCCGCGGCUCGGCAAAAGCCUCCCAAAACCCACACAAACUUCUUCCAUUGUUGCUCUUUUCUUAAACCUCUACUCGUUGCUUCAAAACCCUAGAGAUGGAGGAAGAAGAAAAAGCUGGGCCUCCCAAUAAGGAUUUGUAUGCUCUACUCCACAUUUCACCCGAAGCAUCCGACGAAGAAAUCCGAAAAGCUUACCGCCAAUGGGCUCAAGUCUAUCAUCCUGACAAAUAUCAAUCUCCUCAUAUGAAAGAUAUUGCUACAGAGAACUUUCAACGAAUCUGCGAAGCAUACGAAAUCUUAACAGAUGAGAAUAAAAGACAGAUAUAUGACAUCUAUGGCAUGGAAGGAUUAACCUCUGGUCUGGAACUAGGUCCAAAGUUGAAUAAAGCAGAUGAGAUAAAGGAGGAACUUGAAAGAUUACGAAAAAGGAAGGAACAAGAAAAAAUUUCAGCACAUUUCAGACCUUCUGGUACCAUACUGGCUAAUAUGUCUUUGCCACAUUUUUUGGAGGGCGACGGCAUCAUGAGAGGAAUGGCCAUGACAAGUGAAGUCCAGUCUCAAAUUUCAAAAAGUAAUACCGUUGGAGUAGGAGGAAAUUUGGCAGUGACUGGGAAUGUUGGUGGUGGGGCUGCUUCUGCAAUGUUUCGUCAUCAAUUUUCUUCAGUUUCUUCUGUAGAAUUUAUGGCUUCAACUGGUUUAAGAUCACUUAUUGGGAUGCAAGCAUCUCGUCAUCUUACAUUGCACUCAACAGCAUCAAUGGGUAUUUCAAUGUCAUUGAAAGAUGGAUCAUUGAAUCUGUCCAAUUCUUGGACUCGCCAACUUUCUGAAACAGCAAAUGGAAAUAUACAACUUAUUUUAGGCCCAGAGUCAUCUGUUGCAGUUGGGUGGCAGAAGAAAGAAGAGAAAAGGUCUGUUGCAGGAGAGGUGAAGUUUAGUACAAGUUCAUUUGGGGCAUCUGCUCAUUAUACUCAUCGCUUCUCUUCAAAGUCUCAUGGCCGAAUUGCUGGGAGAGUUGGAAGCACCAUGCUUGAGCUUGAACUUGGUGGUGGGAGGAAAUUAUCCAAAUUCAGUACAGUUCGGAUGUUGUAUUCAAUUGGCAUUCAGGGCAUCUUUUGGAAGUUUGAGUUGCAUCGUGGAGGCCAAAAAUUGAUCAUUCCAAUUCUGAUUUCCAGGCAUUUGAACCCCAUAUUUGCAGCUGGAGCAUUCAUUUUUCCCACUUCGGCAUACUUUCUGCUCAAGAAAUUUUUGGUAAAACCUUAUUAUCAAAGAAGGGAAAAACAAAAGGCUUUAGAGAACAUGCAAAAAACUUCCGCUCAGGUACUAGAAGCAAGAGCCGGUGCUGAGAAAGCUCAACAGCUACUGCAGAAUGUUGCCAAUAGGAAAAGAAACAGGCAAUCUGAAAUUAGUGGACUCGUUAUUACUAAAGCAAUUUAUGGAAAUCAGAAGGAUUUGAAGAAAAAGGACGAAUUAAAGGAACCAAAUGACGAGUUGUCUCUAAGCAUUGUAGAUGUGACUUUACCACUAAACUUUUUGGUUAAUGAUUCUGGGCAGCUAAAGCUCCAUGAAGGGGUAAAGAAGUCGGGUAUCAUGGGCUUUUGCGAUCCAUGCCCUGGAGAACCAAAACAAUUGUAUGUUGAGUAUACCUUUGGUGGCCAGACAUAUGAGGUGGUUGUGGAUGAUUAUGAGGAGUUGCUAAUACCAAAGCCAUUUCAGUGAAUCUUAUGCCAACAUUAACAAUUCACAUACCUGGUUACCUCUAGCAAAUUUUCAUGCUUCAUCUGCUUGAGCACAGUCAGCUCUACUAGGUUGCUAAUUGCUAUGUUGUUGAUCACCAAGAGGACGUAGAUUCUGGGGAAUUUAGCAUUUGAAAUGCUUAAGCAUGUGAAAGUAACAAAAUCUGUGAGAGAGCAGAACUUAUAAUUCUUAGCUAAGUUGCUAGAAAACCACUAUGGAAUCCUUAUUCAUCUAGUAUAGGGCGAGGUGCUUUAGUGGAUUCUUGACAGAUUUAUCUUCAGGAAACCUGUUACCAAGAUUUCAAAAUUGAUUAGAGCAUAGAAGAUUUCCAAUCUUGUUCUAAAUGAAGAUGUGUCUGUUUCAACCAAUAUAUGGCUUAGCAAAAGAUAUCUCUAAUCAUACUGGAUUUUCUGUUUCACAAGUAGAGUUCACUUUUGUACUUAAAUUUAAUGAUGUAUUUUAGAGUUUUCAUGGUUUCUUGGUUCAA